UACAUUGAAUCAAACUUAAUACGGAGUGUCUCGUAUUGAAUGACUAUCAAAAAAUAUCAGAAGAUUGGAAGGAUGACAGAAACAUUACUGUGCAUGUCGAUACUAGUGGUGAUAGUAAUGGCAGAAAAUAUAACGUCGAGAUUGAGGAGGUCGGCGCCAAAUAAGAGAAGGGAAAGGAUGAAGCGGAAAAGGGAGAGAAAGAUUCGCUUCUCGAUCAAUCAUAAUUAGAAUCACGACGAAGCAUCCAAUCGAGACUGAUCAAAGAUGUCCGAACUCGAAGACAAGAACCUUCUGUCUUAUUCAUCGAGAUUGAAAGAGUUCUACUUACUCUGGAGCAGGAUUUCUCCAACGUUGCGUUCCAGUCCACGCCAUCGGGCAUUGAUCGCCCCCGACCUGGAACAAACAAAAUAUUUUCUGAAUUGGUCUAGCUUGCUGCGAA